CAGAGCCAGGCCUGGUUGGGUGCCUGGCCUACUGACAGCCUCCAUGAAGAGAGACAGUUGGAAGCAAUCUCAUCAGACAGUUGGCGUCUAUGAGGUUCACACAUAGGUGAACCCACAGCAGCAUGGGCAGUGUGACAGGCGUAAUUGUUCAAAAUUAAAUGCGGUAGAUGUGGGACACAUAGAUCACCCAUAGUUCCUCCAGGCUUUGAGCUAGAGAGAUGCCUGCAGUCUACGGAGAACAGUUACCUUCCCCAGACACGCACAAAGCAACCAGUGCAAGAAGAGCAGAGGAAGCAGCUGGAGGAUCACGGAGACUUGGGAAGCAAUUGGGAAAAGGGGCUUACAGCUAAAAAUUUGCAUUGAGUCUCAGAAGAGACUUCGGACUACGAC